rnacentral:lncRNA from 1 species
GCGAGCUGCGGGGCGGCGGGUGCGGGGCCGCCGGCCGCGGGCUGCUUCCCGGCCGGGCCCCGCCGCCGUCUCCCGCCCUGCGCGCGCCGGCUCGCAGCUGUCGGACCCCGGGGCGAGCCGCGUCCGAGCCGAGGUGCGUCUCUCUUUCAGGGAAACCCCUCGGCGCCGGCUCCUCCGCCGCUCGGGCAGCGGGGCCGGCGCUGGGGCGCCGACGGCCGGCGGGCAGCGGCCUGGCCUCCGAGGUGGCGCUGCCUCCGCGUCCCCGGACCCCCGGGCAGGAGCGCACCCCGGUGCCCCUCGGCGCGGCGCGGCGCGGCGUCCGCGGGCCCCUAGGUCUUCGCGGGUCACCCGGCAGUGCAGACGCGGGAGGCGGCCGAGCUCUGCGGGCUUCUGCAGUUGGGAAAACUUUGAGCCGGGGCAGCCGGGAAGCCGCCGCGACAGGUUGCUGCAGAGGCACAUGCUGUGGUUCCUCCUCUAUCCUGCGUGAUGGACAGAGCCUUCUAUCCCUGCGUGGUGGAAUUUCAGCAGAAAAAUGCAUGUACGGGGUGAGGGAGGUGGCAGAAAGUGUUUCACCCUCUCAGGGAAGAGAAAAUAAGAAGUAGGAACACCUUAAAUCCACUAGAAUGAAUUCCACUGUCAUUUUCAUUAAUAUUUCAUUGAUCAAAUAAGUUAAAUAGCAGAUUUGCACACUAUUGUCACAUACAUAUUAAAUAUUACUAAUAUAGUGUCCAACUAAGUAGGAAUGAGCUUAUAAGAGAAAAGUGUCAUAACACUUUGAUAAGAAUUAUUAGCUUUUUUGUUUUUGUUCAGAAUCCCUGAGGUUUAUCGUAGUUGUGCAUUUUGCAGCGGGUGCUCUAACCACCAGCAGUGGUUAAGUUAUCAUGUAAACUUAAUCACAUGCUAUUGUGGCUACAGGAGCACCUUUCUUCUAAAGAACCGGAUCUACAUGAAUACAUAUUUUAAACUAUUUAUGAAUUUACUUCACAUAUUCUUCCAAAUAACAACUGACAGUAACAACCAGAAAGGACAUGAGAUAAUAACUCAGGAAUGAGAAUACAUUUCUCAGAUCUGAGCAAAUCCAAAGACGAUUUGCUAGUAAAACCCUCAAAGGGAAUGAUAUGAGUAGGAUGGAAAAAGGUGAAAACACUAAAUGGCAUAUUUAUGUGUGACUCUUGGAGAACUGUUUGAAAUUUAGACCAGAUAGGACUCUACCUCCCAUGACUUCCUAUCAGCCCUCAAUCACAUCUAUUAGAAAAGAUUAAACCUACCUACCAGAGAGACCUUUUAGAAAUAUCUAAAAAUAUCUAUUUUAGUUGACAAAUAUCCACCCACACAA